AAAGGGAACUCCUUGACCCCUUGUGCUUCCCAAGCGAGGCAAUGCCUCGCCCUUCUUCGGCUCGCGCACGGUGCGCGCACCCACUGACCUGCGCCCACUGUCUGGCACUCCCUAGAGAAAUGAACCCGGUACCUCAGAUGGAAAUGCAGAAAUCACUGUCUUCUGCGUCGCUCACGCUGGGAGCUGUCGACCGGAGCUGUUCCUAUUCGGCCAUCCUGGCUCCCCAUCAGUGGUGUCUUUCAUUAGAGAAAUAAAACUGUGAGACUGUGAAGUGUAUAAAGGAUUCUACCGCUCUCCCGGGGCUUGGAGACCCACAGAUUGGAGAAAGGGCCAUCCAUGGAGGGCUGGAUGGUGUCCUCACUCUCCCAUCACACAGCUCUUCUGAUGAUGUUUUUGCUUGUCUUUCUGGAAGUUCGCUCUGAUCCAAAAUUACAUCUGCAAGGGGCAGCUGAAGUCCAUCAGUUCUGUGAAGUCUUCUGGGAGUUGCCUCAGCCUAGAGAUCUCUUCCUCCAUUUCUCCAAAUAUUUCAGUUAGCUCUAAAUGAACAAUUAGCAUCUCCUAAUUGUGCAACUAUUUAAUUUUGGUUUCCUCAACCAAGGAGUUAAUCCCUUUCUGAGGGCAGGUACUGUCAACUUCUUUUGAUUUUUCUACACUGCAUGUGGCCAUCCCAGAUAACUCACUAACAAUAAAUUCUUGAUGACAUGACUCUACAUGGUAAGACGGCACUACUCACUUGCCAAGAGCCAAACAGAUAUUUUGGAAUCAUUUCCCAGAUAGUGAUAAAAAAUGGGCACAGACCAUUUGUAAUCUUUCAUCCCAUCUUCCUUUUGACUAGUGUCAUCCCUGUAAACCAUGAGUGAUCAGGAUUACAUCUCUACAUUCAGCAGGAGUAGAAUAGAAUUUCCAUUUGCACACAAAACUGACUCACUGAGAGCAAUUUAGUGAUCUCAGUAGAUGGGCCUGCUGCAUGGAAAGGCAGCCAACAGAUGGGGAGUGUCCCUAUCUUAGCCAGAGGAGGGGAAAGUAUGGGAUUCAAUCUGUUUCUUUAAAAGCUGAAGGAUAAACUGAAGAUGAUGUUCAUAAAAACUGUAUUUCCAUUGUUAAGGAGAAAAAUAGAUAGGUAAGCUCAGCCCUCUUUUGAUAAAAGUUGAACAGAGAGGUGAAAAAGGGAAUCCAUUUGUUUAUGCACUUAUCCUAAAGAGAACAUUGAAAGUCAAGGGGGUAUGUCCAGUGGUUUGCAAAGUGGUGUCUCCAGGGGACAUUUACAGUCAAUGUCAUCUACAGAAAGUUGCUGUCUUUGCUAUAGUGAAGGGCAAAUCAUCUCCCAAUUGCGCUGCUUUUCAAGAUUCCAUGAGGAGCUCUACUCUUGAAAAUUUCUGAAUCAAAAUAGAAUCUUAAGGAGUCUAAUUCUAAAUACAAACUUCAUGUGUAAGAUUCUCGCCAUGGCUGUAUGGCAGGUUUUUAAAGAAAGUAUGAGAAUGGUGUAUUUUAUCCAAGUGCUUGUUGCUGUUUUGCUCACUGGUGUCCUAAGCACCUAGAAAAGUCCUUGGCAGUUUUUAGGUGCACAAUAAGUAUUUAAUUUUAUUAUUCCUAAAUUAUUGGUUCGAUGAUUGGGUGUAUACAAGUGCAUAUGUGGAUAUGUGCAUUUGAAUGGAGAGAAAGAAAAAGUACAUGCUUACUCUCUGUGCUAUAAUGUCUCAAAUAUUAAAUCAUGACAUAUGAUAAUAAUGGUCAUUUUUAAGUUACAAAGUUCUUUCACCAUUCAUUCAUUCAGUUGUUAUUUAUUGGGUGCCAAAUUAUGUACCAGGCAGUGUGGUGGGAUACCAGGGAUACAGACAUGCGCCUGCCUGUAUAUGUUUACAAAUCUAGGUGGAAAAAAUAGGUAAAUAAAUA
rnacentral:lncRNA from 10 species